rnacentral:rRNA from 1 species
CGAACGGGUGAGUAACGCGUGAGGAACCUGCCUCAAAGAGGGGGACAACAGUUGGAAACGACUGCUAAUACCGCAUAAGCCCACGGCUCGGCAUCGAGCAGGGGGAAAAGGAGUGAUCCGCUUUGAGAUGGCCUCGCGUCCGAUUAGCUAGUUGGUGAGGUAACGGCCCACCAAGGCGACGAUCGGUAGCCGGACUGAGAGGUUGAACGGCCACAUUGGGACUGAGACACGGCCCAG